UACGGCGGCCAUAGCGAAAGGGAAACACCCGGUCCCAUACCGAACCCGGAAGUUAAGCCUUUCAGCGCCGAUGGUACUGCAACCGAGAGGCUGUGGGNGGCAGAGGCCACCUGGU
rnacentral:rRNA from 1 species